GUUAUAACAGUGCUUCUUUAAACACCAAGAUAGUGCUAGCACUUUGUGUGUGUGUAAGAAUAGUGAAACUGUACCAUACCAAAGAUCCUUGUAGAUUACUAUCUUGUCCCCUACAGUGGCCAAAACAAAAGGAACAUGACAAGUUUAAAAUGAUCAUUAUUUUGGAAAACUCUUUUAGCUCCCAGCAAUUACAGGCUCUUUUAUAUCCUGCGCCAAACAUUUCAGGCAGACCACUGAUGUUAACAGCUACAGAGACUACGUUUAAACUCAUUUCUCCUUUUGGCUCCACACUUCCAGAUCUUAUUUAUACAAUGAGUAGAAAACAAAGACAAAAGAAUGAUGGCCUUGCACAUUUUUUUAAUGGCUGGUACAUGAUUUCUAAGACCCUUUGACUGGCCCUGCAGCAGUUUCUGGAAUGAACUACUCAGCAGAAGAAAGAAACAUACUAUUUCAUAUCUGUUUGAAACAUUAAUCAACAUUUUGCUUCUGAC